rfam:Candidatus Melainabacteria bacterium RIFCSPLOWO2_12_FTLL_35_11 rifcsplowo2_12_scaffold_16217, whole genome shotgun sequence.
GCCCUUGUGGCGGAAUGGUAGACGCAACGGACUUAAAAUCCGUUGGUGUGAAAAACGCCGUGCCAGUUCGAGUCUGGCCAAGGGCA